GUCUCCAAUACAGCCUAUAACACAAAACGGCAUCAGGCACAUUCUAGAAACCAUUAGAUUGUAACAAUGCCAGGUUAUAUCCAGGAGUCUGAUUUUAUUAUGUUGGAGGAAGGGUCUACUGCCAGAGACCUGAUGGAUAAAAUGAUUGAAGAUUUCUCUCGGUCUGUAAGUAUCCAGUUUAUUUUGCCAAGCACACUUACUCAUUCAACCAGGAUUAGUUGCUAG